ACUCAGAUGGAGUUUGGAAUGCA
rnacentral:siRNA from 1 species